AUGAUAUUGAGUCUAAUAUUGUUUGCAAUCAAAUUUCUUGGUAGUUUUCAUCCAAGAAAGACACGCUUUGGUAUUCCUAGCCGCAGGCACACUCUUUUGGCGACUCUUCCCUCUUGGAUGCUCCUGGACACCGCUUACUAUUAUACAAAGAAAAGAAGGCAGCAGGCAACAGUUUACCAUGAGCAAGUGUGGCAAGCACAAGCACCUGCUUCUUCCUUACUGGGUGUGCGAGAUGGUAUAUGUACGGCUGCAACCUCAGUGAGUACUCACCAUCGGACCGAACAUAUGAGUGUUCAAUGCAAUAAGCAAACGGUGACAACGGUUCCUGACAUGCAAGCGGAGGAUCAUAAUCCAGGUGCAACUCUGACCGGAACCGGGGAACUUUUCCCGACGAACACACCAGUUCAUGAUCAUGGGAAUGAAAAUUCAAAUGGUGCUCAUGGCUACCAAGCAUUGGCAUACUACUUAUAA
rnacentral:rRNA from 1 species